rnacentral:lncRNA from 1 species
AUGAAUUAGAUCACUUUUCCACGAAAUCACGUGAUAAAACUAUUUUCCUCCAACAUAUAAACAAUUUCUGUUCUAUAUAGAACAUCAUAAUUUUCAGAAAGCAUUGAAAGCAGACACAACAUUCCUGUUGGUAAUUAUAUUUUAAUACAUUUUUUUUUAAUUCAAGUGGUAAAUAUGUUUCUUGCAUUUAUGUAAAAUAAUGAAAGUAAUUUGAAAUGACUGUUAAAGUAUAAUCCUGCUUUAGUAAGGUUCGACACUCGAUACCUAUUCAUCAUUGAUCUUUUUUGAAGGUGGAAAAAGGGUUGGAGGGCUGGAAGCGUUUCUGUUGAAGGCAAUCUAAAACCAUGCUUGGGAAUUAAAACAUUUUCAAAAAAUGCAUCAUACUCAUUCAAUAUUUUUCUGAUGAAUAUUUUCUUAUUUAAAUGUUGUUUAAAUUAAUUCUUGGUAUAAACUCACCAAAUUGUGGCUUGAUAAGCUAGGUAAUAUAAAGGCAUUUCGUGUGUUUUCAUUUUCUUAUGUUUAUAUCACAGACAUAAAAAUGAUAUGGCAUGAUUUGCAAUGAGACAACUAUAUCGAUCUAAGUUCAAACAAAUUGAAUGUAAACAAUAUUAAGCAUUCAACUGUUUCAAGUAAUAAUUACAUCCCAGCUCUUUUGUUCUAACUGGGGUGAUCUGAGCCGGAUCACCCCUACCAGAUCACCCCAGUUUAAGUUUUUUGUUAUGCAUGCUUUCCUUUGUUCUGUAACAUUUUGGCGGGAAUGACAAAUCCAGUAUAAAAAAAAAAGAAAAACAAAAAAAAAAAAAAAAAAAAAAAAAAAAAAAAAAAAAAAAAAAAAAAAAAAAAAAAAAAAAAAAAAAAAAAAAAAAAAAAAAAAAAAAAAAAAAAAAAAAAAAAAAAAAAAAAAAAAAAAAAAAAAAAAAAAAAAAAAAAAAAAUUUAUAAUUAAUUAUACGGAGAAGACUAUCUAUCAAAAUCCACGUAGAAAAAAUCCAGUGUAUAUGCUGGGGUUCGAACUCAAGACCUUUAGCAUAUCAAGCCACGACACAUACCACUACACCAGGACGACUGGAUACGAACUAUUAGAAAUUUAACAUACUUAAAGGAAGCAAGAUAUUUUUUAUAACUGGGGCGAGUUGGCAGACCUUUACUCAGUGGGGUUUAAACCCUUUUCGUUAAAUAAAUGAGUUGUAAGACUGAUUGUUCAAUUUGAUUUUACACUUUUUUAAAGUUGGGCGAGUCGGUUACAAGAGUGGGGCGAUUUUUUCAUAAAGUGGCGAUAUAGUGUGGGCCGAUUGGCCAGUGGGGCGAGUUGACAUUAUUUGAUAUCUACUCAUCGUGUUUGGGGGUCAUAAAGGGUAUACAUCAUAUAGUAAUAUCUAAAGUAUAUUAUAAUGGUUGUGUGGCGUUCUAAACUAGAUUUUAUGAAUUGUAAAUGGUUUUUCGUCUAUUCUUAAUCAGCUGGGAUGUAAAAUAGUUAUCCCAUUCGGACUUGGUGUGUCAGUGUAAGAUCACCCUCUGGCCUCCGGCCAUCGGGAUGAUCUUACACUGACACACCGCGUCCUUAUGGGAUAACUAUUAAAGGUAGUCUAAGAUAAACCUACAAAGAUUCUUAAUCAACUUUUCCCCUUAAUUGUUCGUCAAUAUUUGUUUUCAGUAAAAAAAUAAUCCCAAUAUGAAACGGCAAUCUUAUGGGUGGCCAGAUGACGAUGAUGAUGAUGACGAUGCUGAUUGUUGUAUACAAUGACACUUCCGGGUAAGUUAAUUUACACAUCUUCAAGAUAGUUAUUACUAAAUUCUAAACACUUUACAGGGACAGAUACAGCCAUUUAAAAAAAGGGGGGGGGGGAUUCAAACAUUAGUCCCGAUACAAAUGUAUUGAUCGACAUUGGAUCCGCCACUGCCUUAUAUCUACUUUCUUUAUGACAUAAAAAAUUGAGCGUUUUUUUUUGUUUAUCUCAAAAAGGUUCGAAAACCUGGUUGCAAGUUAAAGAACUUUGUAUGAUAAUUGUAGUGAAAACUUGAUACGUGCGUGAAGAACACAGAGUCAUCCUGAUAUUAACAUAUAAUAAUACUUAGUGGUUUGAUAAUUUAACUCUAUACCAUUUUCGAUUUUUAAAUUCCAUGGCUUUCAUAUAAUUGGUUUUAAGUGUUCCAGAUGAAAGCAAAUAAAAAAUAACCUUCGGAGUUCGUAGCUUUUGAUUUUGAUUGCCAAUGAGACGAAAGACAUGAUCGAAUUGACGAUGAAUAAAAGUAUCGAUUAAUAUCAUUGAAUAUUAACAAGUACAAUUUAGGUGUACAUUGAGAAGACAAAUGCACAAAAUGUGUUAUUUUAAGUAUGUUUUCAGCUUUUCAAUGAAUUUGUUACAGUGGCUUUUUACUAUAUAUUUUUUUUAGAUUUGAUAUGUUUCAACAGCAUAAGAAGAUGUCCAGCUGAAGUAUAUUUUUGAAACAUUUCAGAACAUAUACUUACAUUAUGUGAAACAUCUUAUGAUAACAAAAUUGUUCAAAAUGCAGUUUUAAUUAUUCUUUUACUGGAGCAUGUGCCUUGCAAGAAUCGUACGGUUCUUUCUCCAAAAUCCUAACCAGG